rnacentral:rRNA from 1 species
AGGAUUAACGCUGGCGGCGUGCCUAACACAUGCAAGUCGAACGAGGUAGCAAUACCUAGUGGCAGACGGGUGAGUAACGCGUGGUCAACCUACCGUUGAGUGGGGGAUAACUAGCCGAAAGGUUAGCUAAUACCGCAUACGUCUCCGAGGGGCAUCCCUUGGCGAUAAAAGGAGCAAUCCGCUCGAUGACGGGACCGCGUCCCAUUAGCUAGAUGGUGGGGUAACGGCCUACCAUGGCACCGAUGGGUAGCUGGUUUGAGAGAGCGACCAGCCACACUGGGACUGAGAAACGGCCCAGACUCCUACGGGAGGCAGCAGUGAGGAAUUUUCCGCAAUGGGCGCAAGCCUGACGGAGCGACGCCGCGUGUGGGAAGAAGGCCUUCGGGUCGUAAACCACUGUCGAAGGGGACGAUAAUGACGGUGCCCUUGGAGGAAGCCCGGCUAACUACGUGCCAGCAGCCGC